rnacentral:rRNA from 1 species
UACGGGGGGGGCAAGCGUUGUUCGGAAUUACUGGGCGUAAAGGGCUCGUAGGCGGCCAACUAAGUCGGACGUGAAAUCCCCAGGCUUAACUUGGGAACUGCGUCCGAUACUGGAUGGCUUGAAUCCGGGAGAGGGAUGCGGAAUUCCAGGUGUAGCGGUGAAAUGCGUAGAUAUCUGGAGGAACACCGGUGGCGAAGGCGGCAUCCUGGACCGGUAUUGACGCUGAGUGAGCGAAAGCCAGGGGAGCAAACGGG